AAGGUCAGUUGACACAGUCGCAA
rnacentral:snRNA from 1 species